UGCCAUCAGCCGCGGUAAUACGGAAGGUCCAAGCGUUAAUCGGAAUUACUGAGCGUAAAGCGCGCGUAGGCGGUUAUUUAAGUCAGAUGUGAAAGCCCCGGGCUCAACCUGGGAAUGGCUUCUGAUACUGGGUAACUAGAGUUUGGAAGAGGAGAGUAGAAUUUCAGGUGUAGCGGUGAAAUGCAUAGAGAUCUGAAGGAAUACCAGUGGCGAAGGCGGCUCUCUGGUCCAAAACUGACGCUGAGGUGCGAAAGCGUGGGUAGCAAACGGGAUUAGAUA
rnacentral:rRNA from 1 species